rnacentral:rRNA from 1 species
CCGACGGGUGAGUAACAUGUAUGCAAUCCACCUGUAACAGGGGAGUAACCCGGAGAAAUCCGGACUAAUACCCCAUAAUAUGGGCGCUCCGCAUGGAGAGCCCAUUAAAGAGAGCAAUUUUGGUUACAGACGAGCAUGCGCUCCAUUAGCCAGUUGGCGGGGUAACGGCCCACCAAGGCGACGAUGGAUAGGGGUUCUGAGAGGAAGGUCCCCCACAUUGGAACUGAGACACGGUCCAA